rnacentral:pre_miRNA from 1 species
AGCGUGAUUGCUGGACCGUAUGGUAAGAGUAUGUUUAGUUUGUAAGAAACUGCCAAACUGUCUUCCAAAGUGGCUGUACUAUUUUUCAUUCCCAUCAGCAAU